GGCUGGUCCGAGUGCAGUGGUGUUUACAACUAAUUGAUCACAACCAGUUACAGAUUUCUUUGUUCCUUCUCCACUCCCACUGUUUCACUUGACUAGCCUUUA
ensembl:Y_RNA Y_RNA Y RNA